CAAUAGCGUAUAUUAAAGUUGUUGCAGUUAAAAAGCUCGUAGUUGAAUUUUUGCUUGCCGCCGAUGUCGGAACUUCCGUACGUUCGGCGGCGUGCAUCCUUGGGUGGAACCUGUGUGGCAUUAGGUUGUCGUGCAGGGGAUGCUCAUCGUUUACUGUGAAAAAAUUAGAGUGUUCAAAGCAGGCUUACGCCGUUGAAUAUAUUAGCAUGGAAUAAUAAGAUAGGACCUUGGUACUAUUUUGUUGGUUUGCGCACCGAGGUAAUGAUUAACAGGGACAGUUGGGGGUAUUUGUAUUCCAUUGUCAGAGGUGAAAUUCUUGGAUUUCUGGAAGACGAACUACUGCGAAAGCAUUUACCAAGGAUGUUUUCAUUAA
rnacentral:rRNA from 1 species